GAGGAAUGGAGGGCAGUUUUGGAAACAGUGGAGUAGGAGUAACUGAUUCUGGGAAUCAGUUAGAGAUUUUUGUUUUCUUCCCCAUCUAUCUGUUUUCUUCCCAUCUAUCUGUUUUGCUUCUUUCUCUACAAUUCCUUGUAAUUCUUCUAUUCAAUCAAUAAUACAAAGAGAUUAGGGUUCAUUGAUCCUAAUCCACCAUUCAGUUUCAAUUACGCUAUUUGUUCCUAAUUGAUACCGGUAUUAACAUAUUAUUAUUAGCAUUAAAAAGGCCUCUACUUUUUCUUAUCAAGACAUUGCGUUAAAGUUUGUUUUAAGCCUCAAGAAGUGUUAGGUUGGCCCUGAAGAUUGGGAUGCCCGAUUGGCCAUACUAAGGAGAAAUCUACUCGAGGCAUAAAAUCAUACGAGGGGACCAAGCUAACAAACAUGACAGAACAUUGGAAUUCCAAUUGGGUGAUUAGAUUUUUCUUAAGCUGCAAUCUUACUAACUGAAGUCUCUAGCUAAGCAGUCUAAUGAGAAGCUUGGUCUGCGUUUCUUUGGCUUUUAUUAAGUGGUUGAGAGAGUAGGACAGGUAGCCUAUUGAUUGGAACUUCCAUAACACAACCACAGACAGUAAUCUUGUCUCAGGUAUCCUUGUUGCUCAUGACAGCUUUAGCUCCUCAAGCAUUUUCCCAACCAUUCCCUCCUAAGUAGUCUGAUGAGUGUGAGCUAGUGGUGCAAUCUUAGCAGGUGGUGACUCCCCAAGAAGGACCAUAAGGAAACUUGAAUAUUCUGAUUAAACGGCUUCAUGAAAUUGAAUUUUUUGAAUUUUUUAAAAAUUGAACAGACUCAUAUUCUGAUUGAACGUGUAUUCCGAUUGAACUUACUCGUAUUCUGAUAUAUUUUUUUAAAAUUGAUUUUUUUGUUGCUUUAUAUUCAACAUCAGAGGAAGUAAUGUUUAAUAAUAAAAGUUAUUCAUACAACUGUUAUUUGCUAGGCAGUAAUUUUACAACCCCUUGGAGAUAAAGGAAUUACAAUUAUUGGCGGUGACACAAUACGAGGUUUCACUACUUCUGAUCAGGCAUGGAUUACUUAUAUCGGAGAGAAGCUGGAUUCUACCCUUGCAAAAUAUGUGAAACAUCAAACUCUUACUUAAGUUUCAAAGAUUUGCAAGUAGCCUCUGGUGUUUGUUUAUUCUUGAUAUCAGCGGUAAUAAAUCUUGGAACAAUCAGCUGAGUUCUUCAUUAGGAGUAUGAAGCUAAAAUUGUUCUCAUGUAUAUUUUAUCCAUGCUGAACUUAAAUAUAAGUAAAAAGGUACAUGUUUUCCGACCAAAUUCGUGUACUGUUUUUGCUUAUAUUUAAGUUCGAAGAGUAUUUCAGCAGUUUUUAUAUUGAUACCUGGCCAAUCUAAUUCAUUAGUAUAAUAGUAACUUAUUGUACACAUAACAACAUAAGCACGUUGUCUACUUGUCUUAGACCAUUUGCAUAUUAAAAUGUUUAUUUUAGAGAAAUAAUUAUUUUUUUGACAGCUUCA